GUGGGGAAUCUUCCGCAAUGGACGAAAGUCUGACGCAGCAACGCCGCGUGGGUGAUGAAGGCCUUCGGGUCGUAAAGCCCUGUCAGGUGGGAAGAAAGGCUUGGAGAAGCAACGCUUUGCGUUUGACGGUACCACCAGAGGAAGCACCGGCUAACUCCGUGCCAGCAGCCGCGGUAAUACGGAGGGUGCGAGCGUUAUUCGGAAUUACUGGGCGUAAAGCGCGUGUAGGCGGGGAUGCAAGUCUGAUGUGAAAGCCCUGGGCUUAACCUGGGAAGUGCAUUGGAAACUGGAUUUCUUGAGUACUGGAGAGGAAGGGGGAACUCCCGGUGUAGAGGUGAAAUUCGUAGAGAUCGGGAGGAAUACCAGUGGCGUAGGCGCCCUUCUGGACGGUAACUGACGCUGAGACGCGAAAGCGUGGGGAGCAAACAGGAUUAGAAACCCGGGUAGUCC
rnacentral:rRNA from 1 species